rnacentral:rRNA from 1 species
AACGAACGCUGGCGGUAUGCUUAACACAUGCAAGUCGAACGAACAAAAUUGGGGCUUGCUCCAAUUUUAGUGAGUGGCAAACGGGUGAGUAACACGUGGGAAUCUACCUAUCAGUACGGAAUAACAUUUGGAAACAGAUGCUAAUACCGUAUAUUCUCCAAGGAGGAAAGAUUUAUCGCUGAUAGAUGAGCCCGCGUAAGAUUAGGUAGUUGGUAGGGUGAUGGCCUACCAAGCCGACGAUCUUUAGCUGGUCUGAGAGGAUGAUCAGCCACACUGGGACUGAGACACGGCCCAGACUCCUACGGGAGGCAGCAGUGGGGAAUAUUGGACAAUGGGCGAAAGCCUGAUCCAGCAAUACCGCGUGAAUGAUGAAGGCCUUAGGGUUGUAAAGUUCUUUUAGUUGGAAAGAUAAUGACGGUACCAACAGAAAAAGCCCCGGCUAACUCCGUGCCAGCCGCCGCGGUAA